UUCUAUUCUCAUUAUUAAUGAAAACUCAAUAUUUUCUAAUUAUUUUUCACUGUGAAUGAGACUCCCAGUCAGUAUUAUUCUCUGUUUCUGGUUCUGCAGAGCCUGGCCUGUAAACUAGUUAACAUUUUCCGUGGCAUUCCUAAAGGUCACAGUAAACUCGCAACAACAUGUUUUCAGUGGAAAUAUGGAAAAGGAUUAAGGAAAGGUCACAUUCAGCAACACCUCUGAUUAACUUUUCUGAUUAGCAUGUUAAAACUUUUUUUUUUUUUUUUUUAAUGUAUCACAUUGAACUGAACAAGUUAAGAUGUGUGCUGGACAAGUUCUUCCAGACUGAGCUGAUGCAGAUGGUCAUUUGUGCCAGCUGCCAUCUUUGAGAGCCUGCUGUCAACCACUCGCAAAAUCCGAUCAAACAGUCAAACUAGGCAGCGCUGAUCAAAUAUGAAUCAAUAUUCUGUUACUGUAAUGCCUAUUUCUCGCCUAUAAUGUGUGCAGAAAUAUAUUUUAAUGUAUUGUUUAGCUGUAAAA